rnacentral:rRNA from 1 species
GAUGAACGCUGGCGGCGUGCCUAAUACAUGCAAGUCGAGCGAAUGGAUUAAGAGCUUGCUCUUAUGAAGUUAGCGGCGGACGGGUGAGUAACACGUGGGUAACCUGCCCAUAAGACUGGGAUAACUCCGGGAAACCGGGGCUAAUCCCGGAUAACAUUUUGAACCGCAUGGUUCGAAAUUGAAAGGCGGCUUCUGCUGUCACUUAUGGAUGGACCCGCGUCGCAUUAGCUAGUUGGUGAGGUAACGGCUCACCAAGGCAACGAUGCGUAGCCGACCUGGGAGGGUGAUCGGCCACACUGGGACUGAGACACGGCCCAGACUCCUACGGGAGGCAGCAGUAGGGAAUCUUCCGCAAUGGACGAAAGUCUGACGGAGCAACGCCGCGUGAGUGAUGAAGGCUUUCGGGUCGUAAAACUCUGUUGUUAGGGAAGAACAAGUGCUAGUUGAAUAAGCUGGCACCUUGACGGUACCUAACCAGAAAGCUACGGCUAACUACGUGCCAGCCGCCGCAGUAA